UCGGUAGUUUACAAUAGUGACGUAAGGAGGACACAAAUUACUAGCAGAAAUAAGUCAAGAGGGUUUUCAUGUUCUCACCGGGAUAGUUAAUUAAUGGAUCCUACUCCGACCGCGACCGUACCACCAUUUAAACAUUUAAAUGUACCUGGUACACAGUAGGUUUGAUUACGUCACACCUGAAUUGAUUACACAGUUUGUCACGAUAUGGGGAGUAUUUGUACUGAAAAAUACAUUUUAUAUUGCGUUUAAUCAUCUCCCAACGAAUGCGCGAUCAUUGUAAUCCUAGUCCAGGUUAAAUUAAUUGUAAACAUCCAUUGAGUAUUAGAUUACAUUAUAUGUAGGGGUACUGUAAUGUAUUUACGUUACUUUGGUUGUAAAUAUAAUCCAUUAUUUAUCUGAAAUUAAUAUUUAAUGAUAACUCUUCUUCUUCUUUUCCUUUCGGCUUUUCCCUUCAGGGGUCGCCACAGCAAAUCAAUUGCCUCCAUCUAACCCUGUCUUCUGCAUCCUCUUCUCUCACACCAACUACCUUCAUGUCCUCUUUCACUACAUCCAUAAACCUCCUCUUUGGUUUUCCUCUAGGCCUCCUGCCUGGCAGUUCCAAACUCAGCAUCCUUCUACCUACAGUAUAUAUUCCCUAUCUCUCCUCUGGACAUGUCCAAACCAUCUCAGUCUGGCCUCUCUGACUUUAUCUCCAAAACCUCUAACAUGUGCUGUCCCUCUGAUGUACUCAUUCCUGAUCCUGUCCUCUGCUCUGUCUUUGUCCUCUUCAUGUUCCUCAGCACCAGAGUCAUCCUCCACACCACCAUCCUAUGCUGUUAGGCUACACUAUGGCCUACCACUACUUUACAGUCACUGAUCUCCUUCAGAUGACAGCGUCUACACAAGAUGUAGUCUACCUGUGUGCUCCCUAUGUUCCUGUGGUGGACCCGAUGGCCCAGAGGUUUGGGGACGUCACCGGCUUGGAUGUGUCCACAGCAGAGCAGCUGCAGAAAGUGGCCAGAGGCAAACUUCAACUUGCAGAUGAGCGACGUGCAGGCAGGGGGCGCCACAGUCUUCACGGAUGCAGGAGCUGCUGCAUCCUUUGACAGGCUUACCUCAUGAGGUGCAGUCUAAUGACAUCCAGUCAGAACUGUAUCCAAAAAUUGUGGCUGGAACUAAUUGUCAAAAUAUGACAAACACCUCCAGUAUUUUGUCACGCACCACAGUAAACCGUGUACCUAAUGAAGUGUCCAUGUUGGUUUCCUGUCUGAGUCACCAAGGGACGGCAGUGUUCUGGUACAAUCUUCACCCCAGCGGAGAGGGAGACUAUCGGACUAGACACGCCUCCUGUCCCGUCCUCGUGGGAAGAAAGUGGGUGGCCAACAUGUGGCUGCAUGAACGAGGGCAAGAGUUCAGGCGGCGUUGUCCUCUCCGAAGGUCCAAGUGAGCACGUAUCAACUGGUUUACAAAUUAAACCACGAGGAAUCCACUUUGUACGCUUUGUAUCAGUGUGUUACCGUGACCACCGCCAUCUGUUGUGCGGCUAAAACAAACGGUUAGCUGUGAUCACAUGUUUUGGAGACUCGCUGCUUGUUUUUCUCAUUAAUCGAUUAUCGGAGCUUUUGCGGAUGAUCUUUUGGUUGACUUAAAAAAAAGAAAACAAGUCUGCCUUUGGGUUAUUUUGGAUCAGCUCCACCCCUUCUUUUUCUUCCGUGAGUGCCUGCGUCCGCCUGUCCCAGUAUGUGAGAACAUGUCCAUCUGUCCAUGAUAGUGUGGCAAUACAGACACGGGACAUGGACUAGACAGACUACAGUACAGUACACUAAGUCCCCAACUUACGAAACAGUUGGUUUUAGACGACCGUUCUUAAGUGGAAUUGUUCUUAAGUAGUGGAAAAGUAAUAUUAGCAAUGAUAUAGGUACUACAUGUACGUGUAUACAUAUACAGUAUAUGUGUAUGUAUGUAAAUAUGAGUUUGGAUGCAGUGGUAAUAUUAAACCAGGAUAAUGAAUGAAAAUAACAAUAAUAAAAGUGAUAUAAUAAAACGUAAUGAUAAAUGUUAUUUACAUUUGAAGAGGAGUGGUCGAGCAUACGUCGUUGUGGAGGAGGAGGAGGAGUUAUUGAAAAAAAGGACAAAUGGUGGUGGUGGUUAGACUCUUCUAAAAGAGGUAGUGUUCUGUGGGUGCAGGCCUAUUAACUCUUCAUAAACUUUAAUCACACGCUCUGUCCGGGUUGUAUAAUUUAGCUUUCCAUUUAGCUUUACACUGUAUCUCCCCAGUCUAACUCUUCCUGUGUUGGUCUCGUUAGCUCUAAGGCUGCAUUAGCAGUGUCACAGUGCCCUCUACCGGUCAAGCAUGUACAGUAGCAGUAGAAAUACUGAUUGAGCGACUACAAGGCAAAAUUAAAUAAAAUAUAGACCAGUCGGCUUGUGUUCGUAUCCGUGAAUGUUCGCUAGUCGGGUGUUCGUAAGUUAGGGACCUAGUGUAAUCUCUUGUUAAUUGUGUUAAUUGGUUCGUGAAUUCCCACAAAGUAGGAUUCCUUAUUCAUAAAUUGAAUAUUUUUGUAGCGCAUAGAGCAUAGAAAAUCUAGUUAUGGGCUUCUAAAUAUGGUUUUUGACAUUAUUAGAGCCCUCUAGACAUGACAUAACACCCCUAUACACACCUAUUACCCAAUACAAUAGACAUCAUAAGAGAAAAUAAAACAUUUAAGACAUAAAUAAGACUCCUGCUCACGUGUGUUGCUGUAAAUGUGUUGCGGUGCUGGGAGCUGAGUGGGUGCGGACAGGAAGUGAUGUCAGGGGUGUCCAAACUUUUACCACUGAGGGCCACAUAGUGAAAAAUGAAAGGAUGCAACUUUGCCACUUUGAUAUUUUGUAAAGCAACACAUGUAGAUAAGCUAGCAAGUUAUUUGUAUUUCAAGACCAAACUGCAUCUCAGCUUUGUCUUGUACGUGAAAAAGCAUAUUAACAUCAACUUCACUCUCUACU